CUGCGGCAAGGAGGAGAAUCCUCCGGCGGAUAAUCCAUGGAUCUUGCCUCAUUCUUGCGGCGAGGUCUGCGAGAGGCCGUUGAGCAACAACUGUGGUCACUGUUGCUUGCUCUGGUGUCAUCCUGGACCUUGUGCUUCCUGUCCCAAGCUCGUGAAAGCUAAAUGCUUCUGCGGCGGUGUUGAAGAUGUUCGUCGAUGUGGACACAAGCAAUUCUCUUGCGGAGACGUCUGCGAGAGAGUCCUGGAUUGUGAUAUCCAUAACUGUAGAGAGAUUUGUCAUGUGGCAAGUGUCCACCGUGCAGAUAACGCGCGGUUUACAAGUGCUGUUGUGGUAAGGAGAAGGAGGAGAAUGAUUGUUGCGAGAGAGUCUUUAGGUGUGAGGCUUCUUGUGAGAAUAUGCUUAAUUGUGGCAAACAUUUAUACGGGAGAGGAUGUCACUCGGGAGAAUGUGGAUUGUGUCCAUAUCAGGGAAAGAGGAGUUGUCCCUGUGGCAAGAGAUUCUACCAAGGCUUGUCUUGUGAUGUUGUGGCGCCUUUAUGUGGUGGCACCUGUGAUAAAGUUCUUGGUUGUGGCUACCAUAGGUGUCCAGAGAGGUGCCACCGCGGUUCAUGCCUUGAGACUUGCAGGAUUGUGCUUACUAAGUCUUGCAGAUGCGGGGGCACGAAAGAGCAGGUGAAAGAGAGCCUUUUUGAUACUUCAUGAUGCUUUGUUAUAGUUAAAUCAAAUGUUGAUGGAAAGAUUUUUGGGAACUUAAUUUAGAGUAGGUUCCUUGCCAUCAAGAGUUGGCGUGUGAGAGGAAAUGCCAGAGAGUGAGAGAUUGUGCACGUCAUGCUUGUAGACGCCGAUGUUUUGAUGGUGAAUGUCCACCAUGCUCAGAGGUAUGCUGUGUCUCAUGGUCCAGUCUAGUGACAUUGUUCACACUUGGCUUCUACUUUUUUUCGUUUGAAAUUUUCAGAUUUGUGGAAAAAGACUCCGUUGCAGGAAUCAUACAUGCUCUGGACUUUCUUUGUCCUUCUGGUGUCAACUUUGGAACUAUAAGACUGAUUAAACAUUGUGUAUUGUAAGAUAUCAACUCAUACACAUGGAAUAACAUUACUUGUUGUGUGUUCAUUGCAGAGUUCCAUGUGCUCCUUGUCCAAUAAUGGUAACAAUAUCUUGUGCUUGUGGUAAGACGCAUUUUGAGGUGAGAAUUAGGAUUUGAACGUGAAUAUGGCUUCCUACUAUCAAGUCGUGAUAUAUAUAGUCUUGUUACUUUUAUUUUUAUGGUGGAUCUAUAGAAAAUUUUUAAUUUUGUGUAGAUGCAUCUGAUAGAAGCAGGAGAUGUUACUGACAUCUAACAAGCGAGACUAUCAGCUUAAACUUACUAAAAUCUCUUCGGAAAAAAUGAUCUUGAGGCCUUGUUUGGUCUAAGCCUGAGAACCAGAUCUGAUGACUUUAUGCCUACUGUUAUAAUAUUUUCUUUGCUUCUUCUUUUUGUGUCCAUAGGCUUUUAAUUGUUUGCUACUUCUAAUAGAUUCUGGUCCUUUGAUAGAAAAUCUGGUACCGUAUGUGAAACCUGUAUUAACAACGCAGUUGGAUGUUUUAUGUUGUUCAGGUACCUUGUGGCACUGAAACAAAUCAGAAACCUCCUUGUGGUAGUUCACAUGUUCCCAAGCUUCAUUUUUUACAUUUUCUGAAUAACAUUAUUAGAAAACCACACUCUUGAAACUAGAGGAUAUUGUUGUUGCAGAAAAUUGCCAAACUGUACCCAUUUGUGUCCGGAGAUAUGUCAUCCUGGGCAGUGUCCAUCGCCAGAACAGUGUGGUAAAGAGGUAUUACUUCCAAGACUCCAUGAUGCAACUGCGUUGUAAAGAUAUCCGCCUGCGAGUUUAUAUCCAUUUGGGAUGUUGUCUCUGGUACAAAUGUGAUCUUACUUGUCUCGAUUUUUGUAUGGAUCAAGGUGGUUGUUAGUUGCAAGUGCCUAACCUUGAAGAAGGAAUGGGUAUGCCAAGAUGUUCAAGCAGCUCAUAGGGCCACAGGUUCUGACCCUAAAGAAGUACCAAAGAACCAGUUCGGUGUUGACCCUUGCGAUUCCAACUGUACAGAUGGCUGAAUCGGUGUUAAAGCAGCGCAAUGUCAAAGAGAUUGAG
rnacentral:lncRNA from 1 species